rnacentral:tRNA from 3 species
UGGGGAGUCGUCUAAUGGUAGGACAGCGGCCUUUGAAGCCGUAUGUGAAGGUUCGAUUCCUUCCUCCCCAGCCA